UUCGUCGGAGAGACUUUCUCGCGUGUGCUGCGCUCGUGCUGAGUCAGUCGUGACGUAUUAUUUCUCGCGCCUUACGGCGCUCUACCUUCAAAUAAUAUCACUGAUUUUCCCGAGGGAACAGUGGGGGCCUAGUAGAGACCGGGCUUGCUCUCUUGGAGCAGUAUCUUCGCGCAUGCCCGGCUCUUUUGUUGUUUCCGGUGUACAAUCUGUUUCGCACUUAGGGGAAAACUCGGAGCGCCUUGCAUCGCGAUGCGGCGAGCGCUUGAGUCAGGCGACGGCAGCAGCGCGCGCAGGCGUAGGUGCUCGAGUGGCGGGGUCUUGAGCGGCGUCGUCUGCUACGGCGACGCGCGCUGGCCGCAUUGUCAGGAAGCGUGCUACUGUCAGGGGCAGUGCGCCGAUGUCAUCGUUACUGCGUGAAAUGAGCCGGUAUUCUUUACUAAGCGUUGUGCGACGCCCCCUGAUGCACCUCGAUGACAAUCAGGGACGCCAUUUCAGACCCAGCAAAUUUGGAUGUCAGCAGAAUAAAAGUCUUGCUGGAGGAAACGCUGGAAGCUCGGCGGAAAAGCCCGGAGAAUGAACUUCCUGUGUACUUUCUAAACCCAGACGUGCUUGCACUUGAGGCCAAACUGAGGUUUGAAGCUUCUUAUGAAGACAUGCUAGCCAAGCUUCAACAUAUUCGAAAGAUGCUGGUUCGAACGAGCUUCAUCGAGAUUGACGAGUACCUUCGGCCAAGAAAAGCUGAAUUUGCCCUGAUCUCAUUGGAGACACAUGAACGAGGUGUGCCUAUUCCUGGCCCUUGUAUCAUCGCCCAAGAUGGACACAAAGUCGUCUGCAAGGGCAACACCAUUGAUCUGGCUGCGGGAUCAUCACUCGAGCAUGCUCUAAUCAUUUGCGUAACACUUUAUUUUAUCUUGGAUAUCACGUACCCAAAUGCAUUUGGUCAUUUUUUGGGUUUGGUCCAGACAGCAUUAGCUAAGAGGGAGCCUUUUCCACGCUGCUUGAUGUCACACAAACUUACGCUGUGUUUAAAACAGUUGAAACAUCCUGCAAGAACUCGUUAGCAGAUGAGAUGCUGUAUGUAAGAUCUCCUUUUUUCUUUGAGCACAAACAAUGCAAAGAGGUAGCAGUGACUCACAGAAACCUACAAACUAAAGGACAGCUUUUGGGUUUGGUAGUUCUAAAAACGCAUUGCUUAAAGUUGUGGCCAGUCAUAACAGCUUUGCUUUAAACAUGUACACGCAUCGUCACCACAUUUAGGGCAACUGUUUAUUGGUCUAUUUUCUUUUUUGACUUUGGGCGACAAAUGAUAGGUGUAAUUUUUUGCAAGUGUAUGCGGCAUACUCAAAGCGAUACUGUUGCACUUUGUAGAAAAAUGCGUGUUGCUACAGUGAGGCAUAACAACACUUAUGAGGCUUGCAUUAAAAACAUUACUCUUUCUAGAUUAAAAAAGAAAAUAGCUGUCAUAUCAGCAAAUUUGCAGUAAGUGUCAUUUUCCAAGCUCGUAGCUAAACAUUGAUAUUCGCAGUUAUUUGUUUUGCGUACGUUGUAAUGGCAAAAUUGCAGCCAUCCACCAAUUAUGACCUUUCCACUUAUUAGGAAUUG